rnacentral:lncRNA from 1 species
CUUAACAAAAUUUUCCCAUAUAAGUAAAUUACAAAAAUUAAAGUGUACUUAACUUCAAUUCACGCUUACAUUCAUCCAAACCAUUCAAUAUCAUCCAUAAAUGCUAGGCCAUUAAGGAUAUAAUAAGUAUAUAGCAUUGUGGAAAAGAAAAGGAUAAAAGUAGCAAUAGUGAGUAGGAAAUGAAAAUCAAGUGUUGCAAUAAACCAACUAGAACAUUAAUAAAGAAAUUCUAGAACUAUAUUCUUUAAUUCAUGUGGAAGCCAUUUUAUUUUUCGUCACAUUACAUCUACCCAACUAAUCUUCUACUCAUUUUGUACCUAUGUUAGACAUAAAUUUAAGAACCACAUUUCAUUCAUAUUCUAAACUACACAAAUGCAACGAGCAAUUAUGAUAACUUAUUCAUGCCUUUGUAUCAAUUAAAUAUUGCCUUCUGCAGCCAAUUUUUUUUUUUUAGAGUAUCAAUACUAGCAGUGCAUUCAGUUUAAUCUAAAAGAAUUAUGUAUUGAUGCUAAUAAUAUAAAUAAAACAUGAGGCUAUCAUGAAUUUUGAGAGGCUUUUGACAACUUUCAGCGUCUAGUCCCUAUGAAUGGGCAAAAUCUAAAGAACCAAUUAAUGUGGGCUAGUUAAUAAACUUGUUUGUGUCCAAAGACCAAUUUAAUAAGUCAAAUUCAAGUUUUAUAGCUUAACAAAUAAAACCCAGAUACUACCAAGAGCAAACGAAUUUAGAUUAAUUUAAAUCUUCAUUCAAACAAAGUAAAAAGAAAAGCACAAGCAUGAGACUAAAUUCGGAGAUAAGUCUUCACUUAUGGAUCUCACUUAAGGAUCAAUUAGUUGGAAUAAUGCAACAACGACCAUUACUCUAACCAAAUGGAGGGAUUGAUAUUCAUGGGCUUAAGUAUAAGAGACGUGACAAAAUAACAGAAUCAACAGAACAACCAACAAAAGCAACAAAACUAGAAUUAGUAAAGGAAAGUCCACAAAUAAUGAGAAAUCAUAAAGAUUUACCUCAACUGAAGUUUUCCCUCCUUUAAGAUGCCCAUGCAACCCAUAAAUGUCGCAUCUUUGAGAAAAUUCUGGCUGUUAAGGAUCAAUCCUUUUACCUUGCAGGUUGCAAAUAAAUCCCUGUAUGAGAAAAAAAUAGACAGAUUCCCCCUUCCAGACCUUGGCUUAUGGAGUAGAUUAAAGAGAAUCACUUAAAGAUUCUAACAAGACUAAAAGCAUGAAUGCAGAUUAAAUUCUAAUAGAUGUCCAUAUACCCAAAAUUUAUAAGAUAAAACCUAUUAUGUGAUUGAUAUACACAAUUUCGGAUUCCUAAGGCACAAAUGAGAAAUUUCAGCCUCCAAUAUAUUACUCCUAAAUGUAAGAAAAAUAAAUGAACCCAACAUAUAAGAAAUUGCUCCAAAUAAAAAAUGGAAUCAACAUGACAAAUCCUAUAUUCAUAAUUGAAAACCUAAAAGCUCUAAAGUAAAUUAAAAAAAAUAAAGCUUACAUGUAAAUAUCAAUGAGAAAGAUUUGAGGGGAGAUCCUAUAGUAACAAGCCUUGAGACAAUAAGAAUUACCAAUCAGAACUUUUUGAUCUUGAGAGAUUUAAGUUGUAAAAUCAAGGAAACAAAAGAGAUUGAUUAAUGAGGGGAUUUUGCGACGAAUCCAGAGAGAGAUAGAAUAACAAAGGGAUAUAGGCUUUAAGGCUGUCCCACUAUAAUAGAAAAUUUUGGGAAAAG